UACGAAGGGGGCUAGCGUUGCUCGGAAUUACUGGGCGUAAAGGGCGCGUAGGCGGAUAUUUAAGUCAGGGGUGAAAGCCCGGGGCUCAACCUCGGAACUGCCUUUGAUACUGGAUAUCUUGAGUUCGGGAGAGGUGAGUGGAAUGCCGAGUGUAGAGGUGAAAUUCGUAGAUAUUGGGAAGAACACCGGUGGCGAAGGCGGCCAUCUGGACCGAUACUGACGCUGAGGCGCGAAAGCGUGGGGAGCAAACAGG
rnacentral:rRNA from 1 species